rnacentral:rRNA from 1 species
UGGGGAAUAUUGGACAAUGGAGGAAACUCUGAUCCAGCAAUUCUGUGUGUGUGAAGAAGGUUUUAGGACUGUAAAACACUUUUAGUAGGGAAGAAAAAAAUGACGGUCCCUACAGAAGAAGCAACGGCUAAAUACGUGCCAGCAGCCGCGGUAAUACGUAUGUUGCGAGCGUUAUCCGGAAUUAUUGGGCUUAAAGGGCAUCUAGGCGGUAAGACAAGUUGAAGGUGAAAACCUGUGGCUCAACCAUAGGCUUGCCUACAAAACUGUUGAACUAUAGUACUGGAAAGGUGGGUGGAACUACACGAGUAGAGGUGAAAUUCGUAGAUAUGUGUAGGAAUGCCGAUGAUGAAGAUAACUCACUGGACAGAAACUGACGCUGAAGUGCGAAAGCUAGGGGAGCAAACAGG